rnacentral:rRNA from 1 species
CGGCAGGCUUAACACAUGCAAGUCGAGCGGAGACUUCGGUCUUAGCGGCGGAACGGGUGAGUAAUACCUAGGAAUCUGCCUAUUAGGUGGGGGAUAACGAAUACGAAAGGUUCGCUAAUACCGCAUACGUCCUACGGGAGAAAGGGGGGGAUCUUUGGACCUCUCGCUAAUAGAUGAGCCUAGGCCGGAUUAGCUAGUUGGUAGGGUAAAGGCCUACCAAGGCGACGAUCUGUAGCUGGUCUGAGAGGAUGGCCAGCCACACUGGAACUGAGACACGGACCAGACUCCUACGGGAGGCAGCAGUAGGGAAUAUUGGGCAAUGGAGGCAACUCUGACCCAGCCAUGCCGCGUGCAGGAUGACGGCCCUCUGGGUUGUAAACUGCUUUUAUACGGGAAGAAAAAGUACUACGUGUAGUAUAUUGACGGUACCGUAAGAAUAAGGAUCGGCUAACUCCGUG